AUGCUUAGCAGUAUUUUGCCUGUUGCUACGUUCUGAGUUGAAAUUCUGCUGAGGUCGACUUUACCUUUCAUCCUUUCGGGGUCAAUAAAAUAAAUACCAGUUAAACACUAGGGUUGAGGAAAUCGACUCAUCUCCUUCUCCAAAAUUGCUGCCCUUGUGGCAAAAUUUGAAACCAUUAUUAUUUUAUUAAUCCUACAAAGAAAGUUUUGCAUGUACGUUCACACCUGGAAAUACCCUGAGGUAAUAACUUGGUAGCCAUACAAUUGCAUAGGAGCUCUUAAACAUGUGUGACAAGGUUUUUACCUAAAAUACACUGAACAAAUAAUAUAUGUAUGUAUAUGUGUAUGUAUAUAUAUGUGUGUGUGUGUGUGUGUGUGUGUAAUAAGAUAGACAAGCAGUUUAUAGUAUCAAAGUACUUAUAAAUAAGUUACAUAAAAAUAAAUAUAAUUAAGCAGAAAGAUAGUCCAUGGUUGUCAAUCUUUCUUCUUGGUUGUAUUUUUGCUUAUAUAACAUCCCAAUGUGUGCGUGUGUUGAUUUAUAGAAAGAAAGGCUAGAGCAUCUACACAAAAACUAAAAGUUAAUUUUUGUGUAAAAUUUUCGGAGGAAGACAAUGGAAGUCCCGAGUCUCUAGGUGUACCCCAACUAAAGGAUUUACGGGCCUUUUUCCAAAAUGUUGCACAUAGUGCAGCCAACCCCUGGCUAAAAAAAAAAA